CUUUGUCGCAAAAACUUUGAUUGAUGAGGGUCAUAAAAAUUCAAAUUUAAAAACUAGUUAGAGUUUGUUACAAAUUAAAUAAGAAAACUAGGUUACUGAUUAUCUAUCUAUCUAUCUAUCUAUCUAUCUAUCUAAAACAAACAAACAAACAAAAAGUAUCAGAUACAUUCGUUAAACAGUACGUGAGAGUCAAAGCUUGUAACAUUCCAAUUAAAAAACUAUUUAGAGUUUGUUACAAAUUAAAUAAAAAGAAAACUAGGCUAGUGGUUAUCUAUCUAAAACAAAAAAGUAUCAGAUACGUUUGUUAAACACUACGUGAGAGUCAAAAAUCUUGUAACAUUACAUUUUAAAAACUAUUUAGAGUUUGUUACCAGUUAGAAAAGAAAAGAAAAAUACAGAGGUUUGCAGUAUUUGUAUCUUACCGUGAUCUAAAACAAAAAAGAAGCGAACGUUAAGCAAACAGUAGUUUUUCUGUGUUACAAAUCAGGAAAGUUAGCAUUUUGUCACACCGAUAGAAAAAGUUAAAAGAAAAAAAGAUUCCCAGCAAAGCUUACGUUGUUUUCCGUCAGAUCAACCUCACACGCCGCUGACAAACUCAGAAUGAGCUCAGGAGCACUUCAGUUAAGCCACACCUACAACCCUACCCUUAACGCUGGAGGAGUGACCAGCACAAAAUAGAUUGAAAUUUAUGUUAAAAAAUUAAAGUAAUGUUUUUAGUAAAUCGUCAUCAUUUCUUAAUUGGUGAAAACAUUCUACCUGUUUUUAACAUUAGACUGCCGUUUUUUACUUUAAAAUUACGAUCACCUAUACAAGUUUUCUUCUAAACAAUCACCUCCAAGCCACACGAAAAAUUUUUUUUUUUUUUUUUUUUUUUUUUUUUUUUAGUUUAGUUUAGUUAUUCACACUUAAUUUAUCAGUCUAAUUCCUUUAAUAUGUCUUUUAUUUUUGUCAGUCUUAACUUCUAACAUGCUAUAUCGGUUAAAACACACACACACACAUAUGCUUGCGCAAAUAUCUAACAGAAACGAAGUGUUUUGGAAUGUCUUUGAUUUCCUUCUGUAACGUUUGUUAUCAGUUGAAAUAGAUGUACAAUGUCUAAACUUUUACAACAUGGUACGAAGCGUAAAUAUUUCGUCUCAAGUAGUGCAGCAAAACGAGAACAGGACUGGGUGUUUGCAUUGUGUGAUUACUGAUGCGAACAUAUCAGUGUAUGGUAUAUUGAAAAGUUGUAAAACAUCUAAAAGUUUUCUGGGUUUGCAACUCAAUUGUAAACUGAGUUUUGAGGGUUCUGACAUUGUAAAUGUUGGUGUUGUGUGUCAACUAAAGUUCAGUGAUCAAAAACAGAUCGUGCUCACUGGUCAAAGGGUGACAAUUUAAACUAUUUUAUGAUCUAGAGCUGUGAGGUGCACUUUGCCAAAGUUUAGCCAAAAGCUCAAUGACAGGUCAAAAGGAUGAGACCUAUGAUUGUUUUUUAACAAGUCAGACUAUGGUAUAGGAAAUUUUGCAUAAUUUUAUUUAGUUAAUUUAGUUUAUUUUAGUUACAUUUAUUAUUUUUAUUCACACCUUGAUUUUUCAAGCCUCAACACAAACAUACACUGCAAAUGCACAUAAGUACACAAAUAUACAAAUAAACAAACUAGGUCACAAACACACACACAUGCAUUUAUGAGACAUACCUAAUACAAACAAGAGAAUUGAGAUCUUUUAUUUCCGAUGUAAGACAGAAGAACUUCAAAUGCAAAUAUCUACCCCGCUGAGAUGAAAGGUCGUGUCUACGCGCCAGGGUAUGUAACAAAGACCAGACAGUCUCUGGCGUAGAUCACGCUAGUAAUAUCACCCCCAGUUAAGUUGUAAAAGAAAAAAAUCUAAAAGAUGUUUCAUCUGUUGUUGCAUGUGCAUAAAUCAACGUUAUACAUUUAUGAGUAUUAAAGAUUUAUGGUAUUAGGGUACCCCCUACGGAUGGUUGUCGGAUUUUACGUGGUGUUCUCAAGUGCCGCCCCACACACCAAGUCCCGUUAAAAACCAAAAGUUUUGUUACGCUCAUUACCUGUAAAAUCUAUCUUCAAGUAGUGCUACGCUGAGAUCUCAACAAUAGAUGAAACAAUGGCUGACAAUUACCAGGGUAAGUGUUUUUCAUCUGAGUUAUUUAAAUAUAUUUUAAUGUGAAUAUAUGUUUAAUGUCUCUUGGUUAUAAUCUCUAGCUGGUUUUGAGAAUCAGGAUUUCAGUGAUGGUUUGGAACAGAUCCUUGAAGAGAUAUGUAAGUAUUUCCUCCUUUAAACUAUUCAAUGUCUAAUAAUAGCGACAAUAACUUUAUCAUUUUACCCAGAUGACCAGGCGGAGCUAUUUGCAUGUGAUGAUGAUGGCACUGUUAAUAACGGUGAGCACAUUGUUUCUGACAGUCACGUGGUGAUAUUACCUACAGAGGGCACGUUACAAGAGGUUGUGGUUAGCUUGGAAUCACAUCACAAACUAAACAACGUCACAAAUCCCACCCCCACCCACGUUCCGUCUUCAGAGGAACAGUCUCACAAGCUCCCAGACUGAGCGAGUGUUCACACCACAGAACAAGGGUAUGACGAAGGCGGCCUAACAGCGUGGACUGAUUCAAUGAUACAUGCGUGGGAUCAAGUGUCCUUCAGUGCUUCGGAAAGCGAGGAAGAGGAGGAAUUACCUCAUGAAAUUCCUCAGGAAUUGUUCCGUGAUCGUGAUUUAAACAGGAGGCUCGAUUAUGCUAUGCUGCCCCAUGUUAAUCGGAACUUUGAGACACUUUUUGACUUGAGCGGACAAACGUUAUUUAUCGGAAAGCAGAAGACAUCAUUGCUAGUGCACAAAGUGAUGUGGUAUCGAUUUUAAGAAAUAUCAUAGCGUGUCAACAACAACACAAAGAAUCCUUACGUCACGCGGCUGAGUUUUGGAGCAGUUGCCACGAACAACUGUAUGGUGAAUUCCGACAGUUUCAGCAGAGCAUGAGUGCCGUACUGGCGGAAAUCCAUGAGGUACAAAUCGAGCAACGUCUUACGGUUAAUGCCUUAUCGCUGAUUACUGAACGUUUAAAUCUUAUUCAAAGAAUGUUAACAGAUUUGUUCAAUCGUAUGAUGAGAGGUUGUCCGUGAUAUGUAUUGAAUUGUUGAUUGUUUUUGUUUUGUGUUAUUGACAUCGAUUCAUUAUUAUCAUUGGUUAUUUCUUAAUUUAUUACUAUUGUUUGUUACUGACAACGAAUCUUUAUUAUCAUUGGUUAUUUCUUACAUUUAUUAAUAUUGUUUGUUAUAGACAUUGAUUUAUUACAUGCAUUAUUGUAUGUUAUUGCCAGCCAUUUGGCGUUGUUUUACUUAUGGAGAAAUGGUGGUUUUGAAUUUAUACUGUGCAUAUCUGUUUUGUUAUAUCUGGUUAUGUCGCAUUGUGAAUGGUGUUGCUGUUUUCAGGAGUGUACACGUUUGUCUUAAGCUUGAAAAAGGUGUAUUUCUGAUUUUUAAAAUAAAAACAAUAAUAAUUCAAAAUGAGCAGUAAAAGAUGUCACGAUGAUUUACAUCCCCACACUUCAAAAGAUGAUCAGAGAUCAUUAAGACAUGAUUUUCCCAGACACGAUUUUCAAAACAAUAGCGAACAGUUACGUGAAAUGAUUAACAAUCAUUUUCAGAUGUUACAGCCUGAUUCGCUUAACAUGGUGGAUAGAUUACACAAACUUAUAGACGAACAACACGAAUGGUUGGGUGCAGCUAUAAACAGCGAUGAACAGGUCGGUGCAGGGCCAUCUAAUAAUGAACCCCUUUAGGUUAUGAUCCCUCAGCUCUAGAUAUGGGUCUCAGCCAGAAUCAUAUAGCUAGACUAGUGAUAGAAGGAGGUAGUGUGGGUGAUUUUACGAUUGUCCCCAGAGCCAGAUUUAAUGGUUUAGAAAUUCACAGAACUUUAAAUUUUCACGAAAUAGCCACAGAUGAUUAUGCAGCCUAUAAUAUCUUUUUGCAGGAUAUUUUGAAUGAGAUUGUAGCGUUUUCCAGAUUGAUGGCGGGUGAAGGUGGUUUUCUGAACAUAUCUCUGCAAGGUGCAAGUCUCCCCACAUAUAUUAAUGCAGUUCUAACACCUGAUAACAAUCACAAUGUUAAUGUAUUUGUUGACCAAAUCGAACAGGCAGUUCAAAGCAAUACGGAUGUGGGUUUUGAUACUGCUUUAGAGUUAUGUGUGUCUGUAGCGCGAAACAAACAAGGUGGUGUACAUAGGAAGUUUGCCGACCUAGCCCAUAAUCAGGUCAUACAGAAAAAUAGAUUGCAUUUGUUCAGCCCCAAAAAUUUCAUAGACAAUAUGUGUUUUAGCAUGUGCAUAGCUCACUUUUUAAAUCCUCAAAGCCCCGACGGUGAAUUGGUGAGAAUAGCCAGAAAUAUACAUACAGAUCUGGGUUACGAUCCACAAGAUAAAAUUGCAUUGCAUGAUGUUUCUAAAUUUGAAGCCCUUCUAGACCUGAAAAUAGUCAUCUUUCACAGUGUAGGACCUUGGUGAACAGUCACAUCAAUAACUGCAGAAUCGGCUGCUUCUGCCACUGGAAUUAAAAGAGCAUAUGUCCUCCCAUCUGCACAAUCUGAACACUGUUAAUGAUUAAGCUAAAGAGGAACAAUGCUCCGUUGUAUGUCAACUUUAACAGAAGGGACAACGUGAUUCCGCAACAGAAGACUUCUGUUCCAAAAUACCCCUGCUCAUCAUAAAACUAAUCAGGAGCUAAUCAUGUGACGUCGACAUCCUGUGUAAGCUUCCUGUCAGCCAUGCGACUAUCCCCUAAAAGGGAGGUGAUUAAAUGAACUCUGAUCACAAGACCCAAACCCGCAGGAAUCAUCAAUAAUUAAUGGACCACAACAAAGGGUCCAUACAGCGUGUCUGUCCAUGACUUGUGACCUGCUCGUGAAAUUUUUCUACAAACUGAACUUUUCAAUAAAUAACCUCAAAAAGGACAACCAGUGAAGAAUCUGAAGGUUUAACUAUAUUCACAAAUAAUAUGUUUUAUGUCUUAUAUUUGUUUGAUGUGUUCAAAUGUAAUCGGUGCAACUUUAACCAAUGUCUUAUUGGUUUUAGCAGAUAGUGCUAUUAAAUGUGUGUUAAGAUAUGGAAAGUUUAGUGUUGAACGAAAGCUCACGUUAUUUGCUUAAACUUGGAGCGAAUGCUUAAUCAAUGUACAAAGAGAAACAGUACAGGGCGCGUCUAAGCUCUGCAACAGCAUCCCAUUGGAAGAUCGCGUCGUGGGAUGGACCAAAUCCACUUGGAUAAAACCCCAAGGCCUGAACUAAUUCAGUGCUUGCUUGCUUGCCCUUCAAACCACCGGCUUUUAGCCAUCAGAGUGCUUGCAAGUCAUAAAGAACUUCAAUUUUCCGUGACCGAAUCUUCAAAGCUAACGCCGCGCAAACGAAAGGACUCAGAAGAAACUUUGUCCGCAGCCAAGGCAAGAGCUGUUGGAUCUCUCAAAAUCGCCGGGCAGUCAACUGACCAAUCAAGGCAAAGGGUACCCCCAGACGUCAUCUACGCAACAGCGAAUCCCAGCCGGUAUUUCCCAUUCAGCGUUACGCGAGCCAAGUAGACGAAAUGACGCCGCGGUCAGCAGCAAAAUCACAAGUAAAGGCAAACAAAACCUCUAUCUAUUGCUGAAAUGGUGCAAAGUUGUUAUUUAGUUGUAAAGAUAAACUAAUGCUCUGCUUUUACUUAUUUUCGGAACGCCUGUGAAUUUAGUAGAGAUUUUCUCCAUAACUCACCUCAUAAAUCUGUUGCAACUGUGUGUAUGUGUAUGUAUGUGUGUGUGUGUGUGUGUUCAUU